GUGUCUUACAUAGUUCUAAACUAGCGUUACCAUUUGCAUCCAGCUUGAAGUUGGAUAUACAUCGGAGCCAAAUAUGUAUUAGAUAAUUGAAUAUUUAUGAAGCUCUUUGAAUGUAGCUACUUUUAAAGAUUGGAGGAGAGUGAAACUAAUCGUACAUUUAUGAAUGAGUUAAGGUCUUUCAACGGUGAGUUUGACUCUCCAAUUUGAUGCGAGGAGUCAAUAGUCAUUCUUUUCAGGAUUUGCUAAAGAUGUAGGCAUUAAAAUAUUUUUGCAAAAUAUGAUAUAUUUACUACUAUUUUUAUGUUCAUUAGAAGAGUAUAAGUAAGAAGUAUGUAUCUAUAUCGAAAGAUGUUAACAGAUAAUAUCUUUUUAACUUUUUUUUAAUAUUUAAAUGGAGGUAUAAAUAUAUAAUUGACUUAAAUUUAUACAGGAUCCAAUAUAUCCUCUCACCUCUUCUUUUUCCUCUUGCUGGGUCUGACAUUUGGAUAUGUGAUUGAAUCCAAUUCUCAGCGUGGGGCACUAGUCCCACGAAGAACUUGUUGUACAUGGGACAUAAAAUAUAUUUCAUGAUGUUUAAAAUUAUAUUUUUUAUUAUAUUUUACAUAAUUGAUAUUUGAUAUCCAGGUCAUUAUAUACCCAGUGGAGGUACAGAAAUACUUGUUGAAAUUUAUUGUCAAAUCC
rnacentral:lncRNA from 1 species